UGCGAAGGGAGCUAGCGUUGUUCGGAAUCACUGGGCGUAAAGCGCACGUAGGCGGAUGUGUCAGUCAGGGGUGAAAUCCCGGAGCUCAACUUCGGAACUGCCUUUGAUACAGCACAUCUGGAGUCCGGAAGAGGUGGGUGGAAUUCCUAGUGUAGAGGUGAAAUUCGUAGAUAUUAGGAAGAACACCGGUGGCGAGGGCGGCCCACUGGUCCGGUACUGACGCUGAGGUGCGAAAGCGUGGGGAGCAAACAGG
rnacentral:rRNA from 1 species